UGCCACAAUUUCACAGAUGCUGGCAGGAGACAGGAAACUCUUGGGUCAAAGACAAAGGACUUGUAUCACAGCGGACCUCAUCACCUUCACGUUCUCCUUGUUCCACAAGUCCAUAGAGAAGAUGCAGAAGUGGACCCAGGUGGAUGUUGCACAUACAAUAAGCCUAUGUCACAGUGAAGAAUUCCAAGUUUAGGAACCUCCCAAUCUUAUAAAGGGGCUGCCAGCAAAACUGUCCAAUCUUUGCCCCAUAUGAAGACAUCUUUAUUAUACUGGUUAGGAACAAAUCUACCCUCUACACUGGAGGGAGACGGUCUUCUGUCUUUCAAGGCUUUUCACUAAACACACAUCAUUGAAAAGAUAGUCUGGGACAAAAACUGAUCUGAGAUAUGAAGAAAUGCCCUGGAGAAUAGUCUCCUAACAUCAACUUUUAGCAUACACCAGAAUCACCUGGAGUUCGCCAAUCUCCAGUGUUCCUGCUUUAGUAGGUCUAGGCCCUGUCUAAGAAUUUGCAUUUCAAACAAGUUCCCAGCUAAUGCUGAUACCACUGGUCAGGAAUUUCUACUUUGAGAACUACUGUUUUGAGUCUUAAACAGAUCACAUUUUGUUGCACUAUCGUUGAUUUGCUUUCAUUUGGCUGUGCUUUAUAAUCAGCAACCCACAAUUCUAGAUUACUUAGGCCUAUUAUUUUCUUUGAUUUCAUUAAAUAUAGUGAAUAACAUAUCUCUUA
rnacentral:lncRNA from 1 species